rnacentral:rRNA from 1 species
AUUGAACGCUGGCGGCAUGCCUUACACAUGCAAGUCGAACGGCAGCGGACCUUCGGGUGCCGGCGAGUGGCGAACGGGUGAGUAAUAUAUCGGAACGUACCUUUCAGUGGGGGAUAACGUAGCGAAAGUUACGCUAAUACCGCAUAUUCUGUGAGCAGGAAAGCAGGGGAUCGCAAGACCUUGCGCUGAUUGAGCGGCCGAUAUCAGAUUAGCUAGUUGGUGAGGUAAAGGCUCACCAAGGCGACGAUCUGUAGCGGGUCUGAGAGGAUGAUCCGCCACACUGGAACUGAGACACGGUCCAGACUCCUACGGGAGGCAGCAGUGGGGAAUUUUGGACAAUGGGCGCAAGCCUGAUCCAGCCAUGCCGCGUGAUAGAUGAAGGCCCUCUGGGUUGUAAAUAUCUUUUAUCUGGGAAGAAACUCCUCUAUUCUUAGAGGCCUGACGGUACCAGAGGAAUAAGCACCGGCUAACUCCGUG